rnacentral:rRNA from 1 species
UACGGGGGGGGCAAGCGUUGUUCGGAAUUACUGGGCGUAAAGCGCGCGUAGGCGGCUUUUCAAGUCGGGCGUGAAAGCCCCGGGCUUAACCCGGGAAUGGCGCUCGAUACUGUUGAGCUAGAGUGUGGAAGGGGCUACUGGAAUUCCGUGUGUAGCGGUGAAAUGCGUAGAUAUCUGGAGGAACACCGGUGGCGAAGGCGGCGUUCUGGACUGCAACUGACACUGAGGAACGAAAGCCAGGGGAGCAAACGGG